rnacentral:rRNA from 1 species
GUCGAGCGGAAGGCCCUUCGGGGUACUCGAGCGGCGAACGGGUGAGUAACACGUGAGCAACCUGCCCCAGGCUUUGGGAUAACCCCGGGAAACCGGGGCUAAUACCGAAUAUGACCUCCGAUCGCAUGGUUGGUGGUGGAAAGUUUUUCGGCUUGGGAUGGGCUCGCGGCCUAUCAGCUUGUUGGUGGGGUGAUGGCCUACCAAGGCGACGACGGGUAGCCGGCCUGAGAGGGCGACCGGCCACACUGGGACUGAGACACGGCCCAGACUCCUACGGGAGGCAGCAGUGGGGAAUAUUGCACAAUGGGCGGAAGCCUGAUGCAGCGACGCCGCGUGAGGGAUGACGGCCUUCGGGUUGUAAACCUCUUUCAGCAGGGACGAAGCGUAAGUGACGGUACCUGCAGAAGAAGCGCCGGCCAACUACGUGCCAGCAGCCGCGGUAAGACGUAGGGCGCGAGCGUUGUCCGGAUUUAUUGGGCGUAAAGAGCUCGUAGGCGGCUUGUCGCGUCGACUGUGAAAACCCGCAGCUCAACUGCGGGCCUGCAGUCGAUACGGGCAGGCUAGAGUUCGGUAGGGGAGACUGGAAUUCCUGGUGUAGCGGUGAAAUGCGCAGAUAUCAGGAGGAACACCGGUGGCGAAGGCGGGUCUCUGGGCCGAUACUGACGCUGAGGAGCGAAAGCGUGGGGAGCGAACAGGAUUAGAUACCCUGGUAGUCCACGCUGUAAACGUUGGGCGCUAGGUGUGGGGGGCCUCUCCGGUUCCCUGUGCCGCAGCUAACGCAUUAAGCGCCCCGCCUGGG